rnacentral:tRNA from 1 species
AUUUAUAUAGUUUAAACUACAAAACAUUACAUUUUCACUGUAAAAAUAAAAAAAUUUUAUAAAUU